UCCAAAACUCCCACCUGGAGCCCAUGG
rnacentral:piRNA from 1 species